rnacentral:rRNA from 1 species
GAUGAACGCUGGCGGCGUGCCUAAUACAUACAAGUCGAGCGAACAGACGAGGAGCUUGCUCCCCUGACGUUAGCGGCGGACGGGUGAGUAACACGUGGAUAACCUACCUAUAAGACUGGGAUAACUUCGGGAAACCGGAGCUAAUACCGGAUAAUAUAUUGAACCGCAUGGUUCAAUAGUGAAAGACGGUUUUGCUGUCACUUAUAGAUGGAUCCGCGCCGCAUUAGCUAGUUGGUAAGGUAACGGCUUACCAAGGCAACGAUGCGUAGCCGACCUGAGAGGGUGAUCGGCCACACUGGAACUGAGACACGGUCCAGACUCCUACGGGAGGCAGCAGUAGGGAAUCUUCCGCAAUGGGCGAAAGCCUGACGGAGCAACGCCGCGUGAGUGAUGAAGGUCUUCGGAUCGUAAAACUCUGUUAUUAGGGAAGAACAAAUGUGUAAGUAACUAUGCACGUCUUGACGGUACCUAAUCAGAAAGCCACGGCUAACUACGUG